CAAUGAAUCAUCAUAAAAUCCAACAUAAAUGAAAAUACAAAAAAAAAAAAAAAAAUUACUCCUGAUAAUAAUAUCAUAAAUCUGACUUUAAUCAACGUUGACGAAGAUAAAACAUCAGAGAUUCAAUCAAAUACUCCCCACAGAGAAGAUCAACAACACAAUUGCAAGAUCGAGCUAAGAUUAAUCCAAAAUCCGAAAAAAAAAAGAGCGAUUCGUCAUAUGUAACAACUGAUAAUCAAUCAAAUAAAAGUGAAAACGGAAUCAAAUCAAAUACAUACAGAUUUAUUUAGAUGCAUCUAUGAAACUGGAUUGUAAUUAUCUGAAGAGACUUACCUCAGGACACCCCUGUGUUGCGUAUAGAGAGAGAAUGAGAGUGAAGAUUCUAGCAGUGAAAAUGCACAGAGAUGAAAUGAAAGGUAGGUAGGGGUUAGGGAUGGCGGAUGGGGGUUAUAUAUUUCUUAUUUAUUUAUUUAUUUUAUUUGGUUAUUUUGAAAUUAAUAAUUAG
rnacentral:lncRNA from 1 species